rnacentral:rRNA from 1 species
UACGGGGGGGGGCAAGCGUUGUUCGGAAUUACUGGGCGUAAAGGGCGCGUAGGCGGCCUUCUAAGUCGAACGUGAAAUCCCCGGGCUCAACCCGGGAACUGCGUCCGAUACUGGAAGGCUUGAAUCCGGGAGAGGGAUGUGGAAUUCCAGGCGUAGCGGUGAAAUGCGUAGAUAUCUGGAGGAACACCGGUGGCGAAGGCGACAUCCUGGACCGGUAUUGACGCUGAGGCGCGAAAGCCAGGGGAGCAAACGGG